GUGGAGGAACUAUAUUUCAGAGAAUAUGAAUUCACAGACUGUACAAGUUACACUCUGUUGAUUCAAAAGAAGGUUGUUUGUCCAAGCUUGUCCAAGUCAGUUUCAAGAGGCUCAGCCACCAAAAGUUUCAUCAAAGAGGAAGCCAAGGUCAUCAGUAAAGCCUCACGAGAGCUACCUGGAACGGGCAGGAAAGAAAAAUGCAGAUAAGAAAAUUAAAACCACAGACUCCUGGGCAGCGAACAAGAGCCUUCUGAUCCUAAUUCGAUCUGGAGUUAAGAAUGAAGGGGAUUUCUGUAGCAGUUUCUUUUGCAUAGCAGAGCUCCGACUUUUCCAGCAACAGCGUGUCCCUGGAAGCUACACAAAGUCCUCUUUGAUUGCCUGUGAUCAAAGCCACGAAGGCUCUCCUGCAACAUCUUAGCUUCAGAAAGCCAGGAAAAUCAGAAUGCUGAGAGUAUAUUAAUAAUUCCUAAACAUAUUUUUAAGGUUCUUCAGGCCUGUCUCAGAGCUAUGGAGGAUGCAGCAAAAGGGAUGCCUUUGAUCUGCUGUCUCUGGAUGCACAAGGAGCUCAGAGAAACAACCAGGACACAGAACAAAACAAAGCAUGGAGCUCUAAUUUAGGGGUUUCAGCUAAGCGAGUCACUCAGCACCAGCACUGCACAGGAGUUCUUACAGCUUCCUUUAUGAGAAAGAUUUGUUCUUCUGUUUAUAGCGCACGCUCUGAUGUGGACUUCCAGCUCAGAACCCAGGUUCUCGAACUCAUGAACGCAUUCAGCAUCCCUUGCUAUCACAACCAGCUUGACAGAAAGACCACAGGCCAAGUGCAGCAGAGUUCCAGAAAGUGAAUGCAGCAAAAUACCCUUGCUCUCUUUGAGGGUAUCAGAGCCAGGAGGGUGGCUGACUCUGAUGAUAGAACAAGAGCCAAAUAUGCUCCUGAUGCUCCAGUAGAGUGGUCUUCAGGUGAUCGAGAUUCCGAGCUCCCAAACCAAGGCAAGAAUAAGGAAACUGGAACAGGAGGGCAUGCUGGGCUCCAGCCUCCCGUGACAGUGAAACAUUGCCUUAGAAUGACUGUUGUUAAUACAAUUGAGGAAAUAUAACACGUAAUCUUGUGAUUAAGUUAUACACAAUUUGAUUUAAAUUUAGUUCCUGGCAGUUGCUAGGUUUCACUCUGGCAUACUCUCUCAGUGUGGAAGCUGCUGAUUCAGAAAGAGAUGUUCCAAAGCUCAUGUAUUUCCUGGACACAUCCAAGUACUGAAUAAAAUGCUGGUUAAAUAAAUGAGUUAAUUUUCCAAGAAAGACACCAAUUACUUUUAGAUUCUUUUGCUUUCUUAAGCAGAUGUGUACACAUUCGGAAACAUAAUUGGAGGGAGGAUAGAAUGGGGGAAAACAUGGAACUGCUGGGAGCUCAGUCAGAGACUGAAGAUGAUGCAGAGACUUAUUGAGAGGACCACAUUGGGUGCCUGGAAACUGGAAGAACAAGACACUUGGACUCCUAUUUUUUCACAAGUUGGUAGGAUGGGGACAGAAGCAUGGGAGGUGAAAAC
rnacentral:lncRNA from 1 species